UACAUUCUGUUAAAACCGCGCACCAAUUUAAAACGACGCCUCUAUGACGUUUUGCCUUGAAUUAUAGGCAGGGCGAAAGUACGCCGUCUUCUCUUAUAGUGUGGUGGGUACAAUACAGUGUAAGGUGGAGGAUGUGCAGUGCGCAGUGGUAAAAGAGUGAAAAUGGGGUGAAAUAACAAGGUGUAGUAAAACAAAAAAAACUAAGGUAAAGAGAGAAUUGCUUGAAUAGAACACUUGUAAUUAUUCAAGGCUACUUUCAAAUCAUUUCGUUGAAACAAUUUUUGAACGCUAAGGCCUAAGAUGGUUGCUAAUGUCUAAAUUCCAUCGCAAAGCUUAAUUAUGAAUUCUUUUUGAGUAAAAUUGAGACUUUAACAACAUUUAUAAACCAAGGAUUGAUCUUUUGUAUCAAUGGGAUGCCAAUGGAUGCUUAGCUUUUUCCAACACAACACAAACCUUCUGAAAUACGUACGAAUUAUUUAAAACGUACAUCGUUGGACGUAAAAGCCUUUACAAUAACAGAGUGAUUUUGUGCAAU